rnacentral:rRNA from 1 species
UACGUAGGUGGCAAGCGUUGUCCGGAUUUACUGGGCGUAAAGAGCGCGCAGGCGGUCGUUCAAGUCGCGUGUGAAAGCCCCCGGCUCAACUGGGGAGGGUCACGCGAUACUGAUCGACUCGAAGGCAGGAGAGGGAAGUGGAAUUCCCGGUGUAGUGGUGAAAUGCGUAGAUAUCGGGAGGAACAUCAGUGGCGAAGGCGGCUACCUGGCCCAAUACUGACACUCAGGUGCGACAGCGUGGGGAGCAAACAGG